AGCAGCCGCGGUAAUUCCAGCUCCAAUAGCGUAUAUUAAAGUUGUUGCAGUUAAAAAGCUCGUAGUUGAAUUUCGGGAUCAGUAUGUUGGUCGUGCUUCGGUACGUACUGUCAUUACUGGUUUCUACCUUCUGAAGAACCUUGAUGUCAUUAAUUUGGUGUCUUGGGGAAUCAGGACUGUUACUUUGAAAAAAUUAGAGUGUUUAAAGCAAGCAUACGCUUGAAUACAUUAGCAUGGAAUAAUGAAAUAGGACGUUUGAUUCUAUUUUGUUGGUUUCUAGGAUCGACGUAAUGAUUAAUAGGGAUAGUUGGGGGCAUUAGUAUUCAAUUGUCAGAGGUGAAAUUCUUGGAUUUAUUGAAGACUAACUACUGCGAAAAGCAUUUGCCAAGGAUGUUUUCAUUAAUCAAGAACGAAAGUUAGGGGAUCGAAGACGAUCAGAUACCGUCGUAGUCUUAACCAUAAACUAUGCCGACUAGGGAUCGGAUGAUGUUAUUUUAAUGACUCAUUCGGCGCCUUAAC
rnacentral:rRNA from 1 species